rnacentral:rRNA from 1 species
GGUAAUACGUAUGUUCCAAGCGUUAUCCGGAUUUAUUGGGCGUAAAGCGAGCGCAGACGGUUAUUUAAGUCUGAAGUGAAAGCCCUCAGCUCAACUGAGGAAUGGCUUUGGAAACUGGAUGACUUGAGUGCAGUAGAGGAAAGUGGAACUCCAUGUGUAGCGGUGAAAUGCGUAGAUAUAUGGAAGAACACCAGUGGCGAAGGCGGCUUUCUGGACUGUAACUGACGUUGAGGCUCGAAAGUGUGGGUAGCAAACAGGAUUAGAUACCCUGGUAGUCCACACCGUAAACGAUGAGUGCUAGAUGUUCGAGGGUUUCCGCCCUUGAGUGUCGCAGCUAACGCAUUAAGCACUCCGCCUGGGGGAGUACGACCGCAAGGUUGAAACUCAAAGGAAUUGACGGGGACCCGCACAAGCGGUGGAGCAUGUGGGUUUAAUUCGAAGCAACGCGAAGAACCUUACCAGGUCUUGACAUCCCUUGCUAAUCCUAGAAAAUAGGACGUUCCCUUCGGGG